AACACUUAUUUUUUAACACACACACAUAUCGGCACAUGCUCCGGGGUGCCCUUUGCGGGUCGGAUGUAUGGGAUAUGUGGAGGCCUAAC
rnacentral:sRNA from 1 species